rnacentral:lncRNA from 1 species
AGAGCAGCGCCUCUUCCGACGGCCCCCAUCCAGUCAUCACCCCGUCACGGGCCUCAGAGAGCAGCGCCUCUUCCGACGGCCUCCAUCCAGUCAUCACCCCGUCACGGGCCUCAGAGAGCAGCGCCUCUUCCGACGGCCUCCAUCCAGUCAUCACCCCGUCACGGGCCUCAGAGAGCAGCGCCUCUUCCGACGGCCCCCAUCCAGUCAUCACCCCCUCAUGGUCCCCGGGAUCUGACGUCACUCUCCUCGCUGAAGCCCUGGUGACUGUCACAAACAUCGAGGUUAUUAAUUGCAGCAUCACAGAAAUAGAAACAACGACUUCCAGCAUCCCUGGGGCCUCAGACACAGAUCUCAUCCCCACGGAAGGGGUGAAGGCCUCGUCCACCUCCGAUCCACCAGCUCUGCCUGACUCCACUAACACAAAACCACACAUCACUGAGGUCACAGCCUCUGCCGAGACCCUGUCCACAGCCGGCACCACAGAGUCAGCUGCACCUGAUGCCACGAUUGGGACCCCACUCCCCACCAACAGCACCAUAGAAAGAGAAGUGACAGCACCCGGGGCCACGACCCUCAGUGGAGCUCUGGCCACAGGGAAUCCCCUGGAAGAAACCUCAGCCCUCUCUGUUGAGACACCAAGUUACGUCAAAGUCUCAGGAGCAGCUCCGGUCUCCAUAGAGGCUGGGUCAGCAGUGGGCAAAACAACUUCCUUUGCUGGGAGCUCUGCUUCCUCCUACAGCCCCUUGGAAGCCGCCCUCAAGAACUUCACCCCUUCAGAGACACUGACCACGGACAUCGCAACCAAGGGGCCCUUCCCCACCAGCAGGGCCCCUCUUCCUUCUGUCCCUCCGACUACAACCAACAGCAGCUGAAGGACGAACAGCAUCUUAGCCAAGACCACAACCUCAGCGAAGACCACGAUGAAGCCCCCAACAGCCACGCCCACCACUGCUCGGACGAGGCCGACCACAGACAUGAGUGCAGGUAAGUGGCUCCUGCUGGUGAUCUUCGGGGAUUUGGGAUGCGGAGUUUCCAGGACGUCUCCGCACUUGAGGAGUGGAGAGGAGGGAAGGAUCUGGAGCCUACUCACAGCCUGCUCCUGCUGUUGCCUCUUCGUGAUCUUCUAGUGGUUCUUGGCGAAAUCAGGAAAAGGCAGAUGGAGGGUUGUGUAUGGAAAGGGGUGGGGAUGGAAGUCCGGAGAAAUGGUUUGCGGUCUUGGCUCUGCCUGUAACAACCCGAGUGACCUUGGGCAAGUCCCUGUCCCUCUCUGGGCCUCAGUUUCUCCACCUGUAUUUGGAGAGGGUUGGAAUGGGCACUGAAGUCCUGUCCAGCUCUGACCUUCUGUGAAGUGCACUGUUGAGCAGCUCUGGAAGCUUCUGUUCCAGCCAUAGCCACACAGAGGAGCAGCAGGCAGGCAUCAGGCCCAAACUGCUGCUCUCUGAUGGGCUUGGACCCCAUGAAAGUGGGGCCUGCUGGAUGCAUUUCCUGGGAUUCUGUGGAAGCUGAUCAGGUUGCUGGGGCAAGUGGAGGCAGGAUAGAGGUGAAGGGCUGUGGGAUGGAGAACCUCAGAAGACUCCAUCUGGGGUCCGGGAAAGGACAGAGAGGGUAUAUGAGGGGUCGGGCCCUCCAGAUCUAAGGGUGGGGUGGUGGCAUGUUUCUUGAGUUGGUUCCUGGAAAGGGAGCUGAAAUGGUUUAAUCGCUCUUCCAUGAAACGCAGGCGGUGAGGACAGCCACCAGACAGGUAAACACACUGUGCAUUGAUCCUUUUACGACUUUUGUGAAACUGAUGGACAGGCAGGCAGGGAGGAGUCCUGGGAGAGAGUCUGGGGCACUCCAUCUUGGGGUAACUCUUUUGCUCUCCUCCUUUAAUUAUAAUUAUUAAAUAAUUAAAUAAUAAAUAAUUAGAGAAGUGCACAGAUACAUAUGCCCCUGGACGUUCAGAUCAGCGUGGUGGAUAAUAGUAACGUUUCAGAAGUAGGGUCUGGUUAAAUAAACUACUGCACAUCUUUACCAAGGGAUGGUGCUUCCUAUGGAAAAAGUUUCCUAAGGAAAAAGGUUCCUGUGGAAAAAGGUUCCUGUGGAAAAAGGUUCCUAUGGAAAAUGCUUUCCUGAAGAGCACAUGCUUUGAAGGUGGCCAGACUUGGGUGGAAACUGAAACUCUGCUAGUGACUAGAUGUGUAAUUCAGGGAACAUUCCUUCACUCUUUCAGCUUCAGUUUCCUUAUCUUUAAAAGGAAAUGAUCAUAAUAGCACUUAUGCUGCUGUGAGAUUUAAAUGAGAUAAUGUGUCCACAGUACUCAGUACAGUGCCGGACACACAGUAAGCACUCAAACAAUGGUAAUGAUUAUUAUAAUGUAUUUUAAAAUAUGACACUAUAUUCAAACAUACCAUUAUAAUAUGUCAAAUGGGAAUGUGGACACAAUAUAUGAGACAACCUGUUCACAACUGUUUAAUGAGGAGGUUAUCCAACAUUAGGAAUGAUUUGAUCCUUCAAUAAAAAAUCAAUGUGUGAAGGUUCCUAGGCAUGAAAGAAAGUUCAGAAGGAUAUGUACGAAAUAUUGUUGUCUCUCUGGGGAUUGGGAUUACAGGGAUUUUUUCCUCUUUUCUUUUUGUUAAGUUUGUGUUUCCUAAAGUUUCUGCAAUAAACGUACGAUGCUUGUAUAAUAAAAAUUAUAGGUUUUCCUUAAUUGCAUAGUCAGGGCUUGCCUCCCUGCGCCUCCUACCCCAACUCCCCAACAUACAGUAGUUCUGAGGGAUUUCACCCCCUGCUCCGGGAGAGAGCGGGCUUAGCCUGGAUUCUGGGAGAAGCUCUUGCUUGGUCCCAGACCCAAGUAAAACAGCAGUUCCUGUUGUGUUUGGGGUGUGGCCACUGCCCUGCCCUAUACAGAAAAUAGGAUGCGUUGCGUUAUUCCUUUGUUUCUCUGACAAGCUUGCCAACUUAUUCCUGUUCCGGGAGAACCGGGGGCUGUCAGCACUGAAAGGGGGCUCAGAAAUCCCAUCUCAUUUUCAGAUGGGGGUGCUGAGGCCUGGCCUGGGGAAGGUGCUUGGAGGGUGUUGAGGCCUGGCCUGGGGAAGGUGCUUGGGGGUGUUGAGGCCUGGCCUGGGGAAGGUGCUUGGAGGGUGUUGAGGCCUGGCCUGGGGAAGGUGCUGGGGGGUGUUGAGGCCUGGCCUGGGGAAGGUGCUUGGGGGUGUUGAGGCCUGGCCUGGGGAAGGUGCUUGGAGGGUGUUGAGGCCUGGCCUGGCCUGGGGAAGGUGCUUGGGGGCGUUGAGGCCUGGCCUGGACUGGG